rnacentral:misc_RNA from 1 species
GAUGAAGAACGUAGCGAAAUGCGAUACGUAAUGUGAAUUGCAGAAUUCAGUGAAUCAUCGAGUCUUUGAACGCACAUUGCGCCCCCUGGUAUUCCGGGGGGCAUGCCUGUCCGAGCGUCAUUACAACCCUCAAGCUCAGCUUGGUGUUGGGCCUCGCCGCCCCGGCGGGCCCUAAAGUCAGUGGCGGUGCCGUCCGGCUCCGAGCGUAGUAAUUCUUCUCGCUCUGGAGGUCCGGUCGUGUGCUCGCCAGCAACCCCCAAUUUUUUUCAGGUUGACCUCGGAUCAGGUAGGGAUACCCGCUGAACUUAAGCAUAUCAAUAAGCGGAGGA